CCUACGGGUGGCAGCAGUCGAGAAUCAUUCACAAUGGGGGAAACCCUGAUGGUGCGACGCCGCGUGGGGGAAUGAAGGUCUUCGGAUUGUAAACCCCUGUCAUGUGGGAGCAAAUUAAAAAGAUAGUACCACAAGAGGAAGAGACGGCUAACUCUGUGUCAGCCGCCGCGGUAAUACAGAGGUCUCAAGCGUUGUUCGGAAUCACUGGGCGUAAAGCGUGCGUAGGCUGUUUCGUAAGUCGUGUGUGAAAGGCGCGGGCUCAACCCGCGGACGGCACAUGAUACUGCGAGACUAGAGUAAGGGAGGGGGAAGCGGAAUUCUCGGUGUAGCAGUGAAAUGCGUAGAUAUCGAGAGGAACACUCGUGGCGAAGGCGGGUUCCUGGACAUUAACUGACGCUGAGGCACGAAGGCCAGGGGAGCGAAAGGGAUUAGAUACCCGAGUAGUC
rnacentral:rRNA from 1 species